UGUAAUGUACUCUUUUCUCCCGAAUCAUGUACUACAAUUAAAUUGGGAGGAUGAAAAAUACAUAGAGAGUUCAUAUUGCCUACGUUGCCCAUAUGGUCACCUCUUGCGGCCCGCCCAAUGGAACUCUCCAUCUUCUUGGUGCCACAGUAAUGAGCUAUGAUACAAUAACUAUGCUUCAAGAAUGAUUCUCACCCUUUGGAGCUAGAUGUGAGCUCUCGGAAUAUAUAUAUAUAUAUUUCCUACUCCACAUUGAUCUAUACAUAUUGAUGAUCAGAAGAGUAGCACCCAAAACAUGAACGGUUCUGAUCAUUAGACCAGAUCAGCAUGUGGGCCUCAUCAGGUGACACAUGCUGGUGAUCCUGAGUGGUAGGACAUAGGCGAAAUGAACUCAUAUAUAAAUAUGUAGGACUAUCACUGACUUAGGCUGAACGACUUGUGUCCCACCAUUGGGUCAUCCACCAAAAUUUCCCAGAUGGAAAAAUCCUAACCCUCUAAGAUGUUGUAACAAAAUAAUAAUAAUAAAUGGUUAUGGAAGAAAACACAACAAUGGCUCACAUUCGAGUGAAAAGAAAAAAAGAAGAAGAAAAGAAGAAAGAAAAACCAAAAAAAAAAAAUCACAGCUAUUUGUAUGGUUAGAGAUCAAGCACACAAACAGCCCUUAGCUGGGACCUAGGAAUGGGCUGAGUAGCCUUCUCCAACUAAUAGCCCAGCAAUGUUUUCCCCUUUUAAGCUAGUUUAUGAGGCUCAUGGACUGGAUUUGGGUCUAUUCUUCUAGCAUGAAUCAGUGCACGAGCCCAUUCUUGAAGGCCCAUCUAGCUCUUAAACAUAAGUCUGGGAUGAAUUGGCCCAUACCCAGACUGUUGAACCCCUAUGGAUCAUAGGAGCCUACACAGAGAGAUUUAAUAUUGUGGCAGUGUGAUGGAUGAUACGUAGGUGCAAAGAAAUUAGUUAUACACCAUCCAAUCUGUUCAUCAGGUGAGGCAUGACCCAAAACUCAGGUGGGCCACAUUAAAAGAGUUUUUUAAACUGGUGUUUUUGUACGAAUUCUUCCUUGUUUUCAUUGAUAGGUAGCCAUAAAUAUGUAUAGGAGGUAUAGAUCUAAAAAUAGAUUUACUAUCAAUUACAAUCAUAAUCACAGACUAAACAAAUCCUAAUUACAUUCAGUCAAAUCUACAUGAUAUGAUACACUCAAUCAAAUAAAUCAAAUCUAAUAUCUAUCUAUUAUGCACCCAACCCGCUUCUGCGGACAAGCUAAUCCUUGAUGAGCUUGACUUGAAGAGAACAACAAUGUGUAGAAGAUAGGCAUUUGGUGAAAACAUUAGCCAAUUGAUUCAAAUUGAAUAUAUAAAGAGCAAAAAGCAAUCCUUGGGCAACCCACUCACGAACAAAAUGAUAAUCCAUCUCUAUGUGAUGAAUUCUAGCAUGAAAGACAGGAUUGACCACCAUUGAAUUGCAAUAACAUUGUCACACAGCAAGACUGGAACAGAAGAUAGAAACACAAAAUGAUCGUGUACUACAUAUUGAACCCAGGAAAUUUCUAUGAUGGAAACAGCUACAGAGUGGUGUUCAGCUACUAUGGUAGACCAGGAAACAUUAGGUUGCUUCUUAGGACACAAUGUAAUAAGAUUAGGGCCAAGAAAUAGAUAGCCACUAGAUGUGGAUCUACCAUCGCCAAUGCAGCCAGCUCAAUCAACAUUUGAAUAGCCAUGAAGAGUUAAAUUGGAGGAUUUGGUGAAGGGUAGUAACUGAGGGUGCGCUUUACGUAGAAACAUAUCCAUUUAACUCCUGCUAAAUUAGUGGAUGGAGCAUCCAUAAAUUGACAUGCUUGAUUAACAGCAUACGCAAUGCUAAGCUGUGUCAUUGUCAAAUACUGGAGAGUGCCCACCAAGCUAUGAGCAAAAAUCUUAGAGUUAGCAAUGGUAGGAGUAGAAACUGGUUUAGCAUCAACCAUAUUUGCUCAUUUAAGAAGAUCAAGGGCAUACUUACUCUGAGUAAGAGUUACAGUGGAAGAGGACUGGGAGAUUUCAAUUCCCAGAAAGUAAUGUGCGGACCCUAAGUUCUUCAUAUCAAAUUGAUUGUUCUAAGUAUGGAUGAGUUCAUCCAUAGCUAUAAUAUAAGAUCUUGUGAGAAUGAUGUUAUCAACAUAAAGAGGAAUGACUAGCAUUCCUUGUGAGUCAUUGUAAAAAAAAUAAAAUUGAGUUGUUGGUUUUGCUAAAAAAGAACCCUAAUUCCAGUAAGAAAGUGCUGAAUGAAGAAAACCAAGCUCAAUACCUAUUCAAGAGUAUAAAUAGCUUUACACAAAUGACAAACAUGAGUGGGUCGAGGGGGAUCCACAUAGCCUGGAGAUUGUCGCAUGUAAAUUUCCUUCUGAAGAACACCAUGAAUUAAGGCAUUCUUAGCAUCCAAUUGCUGAAUAUUCCAAUCACAAGAAGUGGUGAUAGCAAGAACAAUCUAAUUCAGUAGUAGGCUUUACUAUGUGACUGAAAGUUUCAUCCAAAUCAAUACCAUAUUCUUAAUUAUAUAUUUUUGCGACAAGCCAAUCUUUGUAAUGCUUAAUGGUUCCAUCAGAUUUCUGUUUAAGUUUGAAAAGCCAUCUGCAUGCUACAACAUUUUGAGAAGAAUGAGAAGGAACAAGGGUCCAUUUUUUUUUCCUUUAAGGAGCAUAGAAUUCUCCAUCCAUGAAAGACCACCACCAAUUGGGAUCCUUGCAGGCCAUGGUAUAGGACAUAGGUUCCAAAGGAUCCAAGGGGGAAACAAGACCCAUGGGAUCAAGAUAUUUGGAUACAUGUGCGAUACACUCCAUGCUUGCUCAUCUUUUCGUCUAUUGGUGGAAUAGGGGGUGCUAUUGACACAAGAAAAGGUAUAUCGACUUGGAAUUGCCAUUAGGCGAUGAAGUUCAGAAUAUAUGGUCAGCUAGACACCAUAGAAUCGCUACAAGUUAGGGAAUCGAAGAUUCCCCAACUUGAAUGACUCUGGCAGUUUGGUGUGCUUUUGAGAUUUUGAGUAAGGGCCUCGGUGAUAGAGAAGGGGUCAAUCACCCUUCUCCGCCCGCACUGACAUGCAGUCUUUACUUUGCAGAAUUUAGGAAAUUUGGAGGAAUAUUUAGUUUCAAAAAGACAAAAUUAAAACAGCUCGACUAUAAUAUUGACCAUUGAGAUGGAGAGCUCGUUAUUAAUCAUGACCAAGGAGACAAUUAUUCAAAAACUAAGAAAGAAGAUAUAGCAAGGGGGUAUAUGAGAAAUGAAAUGACGUAGCAGGGUGACCUUGCACAUGUGGAAAUAUGAGAGAGAAGAAAGAGACCCGAUACUCAUCAAGGAAGAAAUGGUUGCAUAUCUUAGAUCCUAACUCCGUUCCGUAAGGUUUAGACUGCUGAAAGUAAUUAAAUCAAUGUAAUGCUGUGUUUGGGUGGCUUGGAUUGCUAGUUGGAUGGGUUGGAUUGCACGUAGCCCAAGGAUGGGUAACUUGAAUUGCUGGGAGGAAGGUUGGAUGUGUUGGACCACUUCUAUCCCCCUCUUUAUCACCCCUUUAAGUGGGGGAGGAAGUCCCAUUUUAUAGAGCUACCAGUGGCAAUCAGAUUACUGCCAUUGCUAUGUUGGCUCAAAUGUUGAGGCAUACAUUCCUGGGUUACCAUGCAGGUCAGAUGGGAUUAACUAGGGGUUUUAGGGGCACAUGUUUCCUAAGGUGUCAAGUUCGGUCAAUUGUGAAGUUUUGGAUUCCAGGUUCAAGGAUUUUCAGGAAUUGGGGCUUAAGGAUUCGAAGCUUUAGGAUUUUGGUUGUUGGGCUUCCUAGGGUUUAGGCUUUUAGGAUUCUGAGAUUGACUUCGAGGGUUUUCAGGUUAAGGUUUUGGUUUGCAGUCCAGAUCUUGUGCAGCCAGUCACCCUGUAAUGGGUGGGGUGUCUACAACAUGAUAGGCUUUUAUUUUUCAGGUCCCAUCUCGAGAAUGAGUGACCAUUGGAUGUAUUUGACCCUAACAAUUGUGUGAACUACCAGACUGUGGAAGAUCAACAUGUAAGAAUGGUGCAAUUGAGGGAGCUUAAACAGUAGGAGCAGAAUCUGUCCUAAGUCUACAUACAGUGAGAGGAGGCUCAAAAUUACUACUAGUUGAAGGAGCUGGAGAGGAUUUCUCACACCAUGGAAGAAUAAUCCACUUGUUGUUGGAAUCACUCUGAGUGGAAUCAUGUUUUAAGGAGUCUACAGAAGAAAAAAGUGUCCCAUCAAAGAUGACAUGAAGAGAAAUAUAGAUGUGCCUAGAGUCCAGUCAAGAAAUCAGUAGCCUUUGUGUUGUUGACUGUAUCCAUAAAAAAAUGCAUGGUAUUGUCCAAGGAGUUAACUUGAUUUUUAUGGAAGAAGGUAAGGAAAGCUUCUAAAAGUAUAGAAUAUUUGGGUUUUUUUUUAAUAGUUUCUCAUACAAAGGCUGCUUUCAGAGGACAUUUGAUGGCAUGUUUAUUAGAAACCUUCUGAUUUAAAAGGCUUCAACCCAAAAGGUUCUGCACAUAUGAGCUUGAUCUAAUAAGGCAAUGCCUGAUACACCAUGUCAGUGUUUUUGUUCAGCAGUGCCAUUUUCCUGAGAAAUGUGAGGACAUGAAAGAUGAUGUAGGAUGCCUUCUUGCUUCAGAAAGUUGGUUAAAGGAGUAGAAAAUUCACCACCUCCAUCACUUCUAAAAUUUUUAAUUUUUUCUUAAAUAAAUAUUCGAUCAACUUCUUAAAUGAAAUAAAGCAAUGAAGAGCAUGAGUUUUGCAAACUAGCAGAAAUAACCAAGUAAAACAUGAGUAAUCAUCCACAAGAAACAAAUAAUAUCUGUAACCUCCAGUUGGCAAGAAAGGAGUUGGUCCCCAUAGAUCUGCAUGAAUCAAAUGUAGAGGUACAUCAACAAUAGAUUCAGAUGAAGAAAAGAGCAGUCAGCUACUCUUGCCAACCAAGUAACUAGAAUAAAUAGUUGGUGCUUUCUUAUUCCCAGAAACAAGCAAUUCCUUUGUGUUAUUUAAAGGUUUAAUUUCUUAUUAUUUGGAUUUCCAAGGUGCAUGUAUCAUAUCCGACGAGGCUUUCUCACCAUAAAAGUUGCAAGUCCGAGUCCAAAUGUUUCCAUAACUUCGAGAAAUUGGAUAGUCCUCCUCUGCUAGGUCCUUGGAGCAAUACCUUCCAUGUCUGUGGAUCCUUGAUACAAAAAUCAGAAGAGGUGAAUAUAAAGCAGCAAUCAUGGUCAUCAGUGAACUGACCCACAGAAUAUAAAUUCUUUUAAUAGAAGGGACAUGUAACAAUCCUCAACUGAAAAAUCAUAGGAGGGAGUCGUUAGUUAGACUAUACCAACAUUUCCAAUAGGCAAUCCAGUCCUGUUUCCAACCAUGAUUUUCUCAUCUCCUGUGUAUUCUAGGUGAUUAAAGAGACUAGCAUCAUCAGGGGUUAAAUAAUUUGUGGCUCAGAUAUUUGGAUACCAAUUAUCAUCGGAAGGAGAUGAAACAUUCAUAGUAGAGAAUGAUUAUAGCAGAUAAUCUGACUAGUAAUUUUGAUUUUAUCUUUGGAAACAGUCGAGAGCAGUGUGAUUCACCUUUCCACAAAUUUCACAAGUGUUAGAAUAACGUAGAUGGUUAGUAGAGGAAUUUCAUAUACAACCACCACCAUAUUCGCCAUGGCCACCUCUACCACAACCUUUAUAAUUUACAUGGCUAUGAUUGCAUGGUCCAUGGAGUAGUAGACCACGCUGAUGUGAAUUAAAUGAGCCAUGUCCAUGACCAUGACCUCUAGAGGUGAGAAGAGUGGUAUGGUUGAUAUUUUUGUGAAGAAAUUGUUCAAUUCUUGCUUCUUUGCUCAACAGCAUAUUGACAAGAGAGGAAAAGUUGGAGCAUCUGACCUAGUGAUGAUAGCAGUUACAAAUGCCUCAUAAGAGUGUGUAGUAAGCAAGAUCAAUACUGAGAAUGGAUGUUGAAUUGCAGCUAAGGAGUUGGAAAUCUCUUUGAUUCACCCAGAAGAUGGCUAGCUCUGAUAUCAAGAAGAGUUUUGUAAACUAGUGUUUAUGUACCUAUUCUUUCUUGUGUUUCAUUGAUAAGUGGCCAUGAGUAUAUACAAGAGAUAUGGAUCUAAAAAUAGAUUUAUGAUCAAUUACAAUCCUAAUUACAGCCUAAUCAAAUCCUAAUUACAUUCAAUCAGCCUAGUCAAAUCCUAUUUACACUCAAUCAAAUUUACACAAUAUGAUACACUCAAUUAAAUCUACUUAAUCAAAUCUAAUCUCUAUUAGCAUCA